rnacentral:rRNA from 1 species
UAAGGUCUCAGUUAGAUGAACUGUUAUAUAUAAUAUAUAGGUUCUUAGUAUAUAUAUAGUAAUAUAUGUAGCUUAAGAAUACUAAAAGACCGAAGGAGGUUUAU